UGUCCUGGGGGAAUAAUUAUGUUCCCUGUCUUGGGAGCCUUUCUUCAGGGAGCUUGAUGGUUCCAACCCACCCAGGAGCCUGGGACAUCUGUGCCCCUGGGCAAUCCCCUGCAGGUUUCCUGAUUCCAAGAUGAGGGGGUAGAAUCCGAAGAUCUCCAAGGCCUUGAUGAGUGCUACCAGUCUGCAAAUUCCCAAGCCAAGUUCUU
rnacentral:lncRNA from 1 species